UACGGGGGGGGCAAGCGUUGUUCGGAAUUACUGGGCGUAAAGGGCUCGUAGGCGGCCAACUAAGUCCGACGUGAAAUCCCCAGGCUUAACCUGGGAACUGCGUCGGAUACUGGAUGGCUUGAAUCCGGGAGAGGGAUGCGGAAUUCCAGGUGUAGCGGUGAAAUGCGUAGAUAUCUGGAAGAACACCAAAGGCGAAGGCAGCGUUCUGGCUCGUAUCUGACGCUCAUGUGCGAAAGCCAGGGAGGCGAACGGG
rnacentral:rRNA from 1 species